UACGGGGGGGGCAAGCGUUGUUCGGAAUUACUGGGCGUAAAGGGCUCGUAGGCGGCCAACUAAGUCAGACGUGAAAUCCCUCGGCUUAACCGGGGAACUGCAUCUGAUACUGGAUGGCUUGAGAUUGGGAGAGGGAUGCGGAAUUCCAGGUGUAGCGGUGAAAUGCGUAGAUAUCUGGAGGAACACCGGUGGCGAAGGCGGCAUCCUGGACCGGUAUUGACGCUGAGGCGCGAAAGCCAGGGGAGCAAACGGG
rnacentral:rRNA from 1 species